rnacentral:tRNA from 1 species
GGGGUUGUGGCUCAAUGGCAGAGCACUUGUCUCGCAUGCAUGAGACACUGGGUUUGAUCCUCAGCACCA